ensembl:miRNA MIR3136 microRNA 3136
AAUAUGAAACUGACUGAAUAGGUAGGGUCAUUUUUCUGUGACUGCACAUGGCCCAACCUAUUCAGUUAGUUCCAUAUU